rnacentral:rRNA from 1 species
AGAGUUUGAUCCUGGCUCAGAUUGAACGCUGGCGGCGUGCCUAACACAUGCAAGUCGAGCGGUAACAGGUGUAGCAAUACAUGCUGACGAGCGGCGAACGGGUGAGUAAUGCUUCGGAAUCUACCCUAUAGUGGGGAAUAACUAGCCGAAAGGUUAGCUAAUACCGCAUAAGUCCUACGGGAGAAAGCAGGGGAUCGCAAGACCUUGCGCUGAUGGAUGAGCCGAAGUCGGAUUAGCUAGUUGGUGAGGUAACGGCUCACCAAGGCGACGAUCCGUAGCUGGUCUGAGAGGACGACCAGCCACACUGGAACUGAGACACGGUCCAGACUCCUACGGGAGGCAGCAGUGGGGAAUAUUGGACAAUGGGGGCAACCCUGAUCCAGCGACGCCGCGUGUGUGAAGAAGGCCUGCGGGUUGUAAAGCACUUUUAGUGGGGAUGAAAGGUACUCGGUUAAUACCUGGGUACUCUGACCUAACCCACAGAAAAAGCACCGGCUAACUCUGUGCCAGCAGCCGCGGUAAUACAGAGGGUGCAAGCGUUAAUCGGAAUUACUGGGCGUAAAGCGUGCGCAGAUGGUUAUGUAAGUCGGGUGUGAAAGCCCCGGGCUCAACCUGGGAAUUGCAUUCGAGACUGCGUAGCUAGGGUGCGGAAGAGGGAAGCGGAAUUUCCGGUGUAGCGGUGAAAUGCGUAGAUAUCGGAAGGAACACCAGUGGCGAAAGCGGCUUCCUGGUCCAGCACCGACAUUCAGGCACGAAAGCGUGGGGAGCAAACAGGAUUAGAUACCCCCGUAGUCC